UAGAUACCCCACUAUGCUUAGCCGUAAACUUAAAUAGUCUCAAGACAAGACCAUUCGCCAGAGUACUACCGGCAACAGCCCAAAACUCAAAGGACUUGGCGGUGCUUCGCAUCCUUCUAGAGGAGCCUGUUCUAUAAACGAUAAACCCCGAUUAACCUCACCAACCCUCGCUACUUCAGUCUAUAUACCGCCAUCUCAAGCAAACCCUAAAAAGGAGCAAGAGUAAGCAUAAUUAUCUCACAUAAGAACGUUAGGUCAAGGUGUAACUUAUGAGUUGGGAAGAAAUGGGCUACAUUUUCUAUAACAAGAACACCACGAAAGUUUUCAUGAAACCUAAAAACUAAAGGAGGAUUUAGCAGUAAACUAAGAGUAGAGUGCUUAUUUGAAUAAGGCCACGAAGCACGCACACACCGCCCGUCA
rnacentral:rRNA from 1 species